UCAGGUAGAGUGGGCUUGUCCGGACAUGUUGGGGUGUAGUUGAUCAGAUGCACGUCCUUCUAUCGCAAGUUCCGCCGCCUGAUAUCGCCCGACGGCAAGUUUUAUCGACUGAUGUCCUCCGACCGCAUGUCCUACGGCUGCGUGUCCUCCUCACUUUCUUCCAGCACUAACUAGGAUUUGGAUCCAGUGUAAGGAGUGCAAGUUCUCGCACCCUAAUCAGGAUAUUCUCCUCAAGCAUUACCGACUUUGCCACUACCGGGGACGCUUCUGGCCACUGCCGUGCCUGUACACUGACUGCUGCUGCACUUUCAAAACAAGCGAUAUAUGCUGAGUUUUUUUGAAUCACUCAAGUGGAUCUAAAGAAGACAUUCUUCACAUCUUUGGAUGCACACGCCUCAAACCUGAUAAAGCUUUACAGAACACGUAGCGGGACACUAGGAAAGGACUUAAAGGCCCUCCUUGACAACCUUGAUGAACAGACAACCAAUGUGCUUGCACAAAGGAAGGCCACAGCUCUCCGAGGUCUACCUCUCUAUUUGAGGGAGAAUCCAGGCAACGUCCUGAAGACAUGUCUGGUAAGAAUACUUCGGUUUAUACCAUUGAAGUUUUUUUCUUCCAUUUUUUUAAUAGCUGGGCCAAUAUAAAUAUACAAGGGGCCAGUACAUCUCUGAUUAGGGAGCAAACGCAUUCAUUUGAUAGGAAUAUGCAAUAAAACCACUUAUUUAUAUUCCCUUUAAUGUAAUAUAAGUAGUUAUCCCUAAUUAAGGCUGAAAUCUUUAACAAUAAAAGUAAAAACACAUUAUCAAGAGGUAAUCUAUGAGGGUUGACCUAAAAAAACCCUUAAAUCAGUAAAUUUUGCUGCAAGUUUUAGUGUUUGGAUUGUGGCCGAUUUUAUAUGCACUGUCAGGGUGAGAUAUUGUCCAUCCUUUUUGGAUUGUUAACACUAAUGGAAUCAAAGGAUUAUCCCACACCUUUUAAACUGCACACCAGCUGAAUUUUAAGAGCACCUUUAGAAAAAAAAUGCCAGAUUUCGCACAAAUUAUCCCUUCACAUGGAUUAAUUGAUGACAUCUGGGUGGUCAAAAUUUAUCUGGUGGCCUUACAAAUUGUAUUUUUUAAUGUAUCUUAAAUUUGUCGUUAGGAAAUUUCUUCAUAUUUUGAACAGUGGUAAAUG